UCCCUGGAGGACUAGUUGUUAGGCCAUAGUGCUCUCACCACAGUGGCCUGGGUUCGAUUCCUGGCCAGGGCU